GACGAACGCUGGCGGCGUGCUUAACACAUGCAAGUCGAACGGAAAGGCCCUGCUUUUGUGGGGUGCUCGAGUGGCGAACGGGUGAGUAACACGUGAGUAACCUACCCUUGACUUUGGGAUAACUUCAGGAAACUGGGGCUAAUACCGGAUAGGAGCUCCUGCUGCAUGGUGGGGGUUGGAAAGUUUCGGCGGUUGGGGAUGGACUCGCGGCUUAUCAGCUUGUUGGUGGGGUAGUGGCUUACCAAGGCUUUGACGGGUAGCCGGCCUGAGAGGGUGACCGGCCACAUUGGGACUGAGAUACGGCCCAGACUCCUACGGGAGGCAGCAGUGGGGAAUAUUGCACAAUGGGCGGAAGCCUGAUGCAGCAACGCCGCGUGCGGGAUGACGGCCUUCGGGUUGUAAACCGCUUUCGCCUGUGACGAAGCGUGAGUGACGGUAAUGGGUAAAGAAGCACCGGCUAACUGCGUG
rnacentral:rRNA from 1 species